AGAAGGCUGUUUGCAUGCAGCCAUUCACUCAAGUGUUUCCUCUGACACACCCACAGUGGCAUUCUUCCCUUCCCCCCACUGCCAUCAUCCUUAGCUCACCCUUAGCUCAACAUUUGCUCCUGCAACUACCAGGAUUGUUUUUUUUGUCUGUGAUUUUUGUCUUUUAAUCUUAUUACAAAAUAAGAGACAACUACAUUAAUGAAGCCUAAGAAAAAUGAGCCCAGGUUGAUCCUGCUUUUCUACACCCUUGCCUAAAAUGUACCAGGAACCCUCCAUCAAGCUCCGUAUUGUACUCUCCUUUCCUCUUCUCUGGCCUCGAAACACGUAUGCUUUAUACCAUAUCACAGAGCUGCUUCUGAGCUGUACAUUCUAAACAUGGCUAAAGUUACCUCUCAGAUUAGAGAGUUUAGUCCCUUCUCGAAACAGCAAGUCACAGAUUACAGAUGUGUGCAACAAAUGGCAAGUGCCAACACUUUUGGAUAAAAGCACCAAGAUGCUAGGAACAAUU